rnacentral:misc_RNA from 1 species
CCGAAUUGUCAACAAGAGUUGUUGCUGGUCCCUCAAACAGGGGGCAUGUGCACGCUCUGUUCACACAUCCACUCACACCCUGUGCACCCUCUGUAGUUCUAUGGUUGGGGGGCUUGUCCCUCCUGCUGUGGUUCUGCUUCUUUACACACACACACUGUAACAAGUCUCAUGGAAUGCAUGCUGCGUUUAACGCAAUACAAUA